AUCUGGCUCAGGAUGAACGCUAGCGACAGGCUUAACACAUGCAAGUCGAGGGGCAUCACGGGAGUAGCAAUACAACUGGUGGCGACCGGCGCACGGGUGAGUAACGCGUAUGCAACCUACCUAUCGAGAGGGGAAUAACCCGGCGAAAGUCGGACUAAUACCGCAUAAAACAGGGGCACCGCAUGGUGAUAUUUGUUAAAGAAAUUCGCUGAUAGAUGGGCAUGCGUUCCAUUAGGUAGUUGGUGAGGUAACGGCUCACCAAGCCGACGAUGGAUAGGGGAACUGAGAGGUUGGUCCCCCACACUGGUACUGAGACACGGACCAGACUCCUACGGGAGGCAGCAGUGAGGAAUAUUGGUCAAUGGGCGGGAGCCUGAACCAGCCAAGUCGCGUGAAAGGAAGAAGGAUCUAUGGUUCGUAAACUUCUUUUGCAGGGGAAUAAAGUGCAGGACGUGUCCUGUUUUGUAUGUACCCUGAGAAUAAGGAUCGGCUAACUCCGUGCCAGCCGCUGC
rnacentral:rRNA from 1 species